UACGAGGGGGGCAAGCGUUGUUCGGAAUUAUUGGGCGUAAAGGGUGCGUAGGCGGUUUGGUAAGUCUUAUGUGAAAUCUACAGGCUCAACUUGUAGUCUGCAUGAGAAACUGCCGGGGCUUGAGUAUGGGGAGAGGUGAGUGGAAUUCCUGGUGUAGCGGUGAAAUGCGUAGAUAUCAGGAGGAACACCUGUGGCGAAAGCGGCUCACUGGACCAUAACUGACGCUGAUGCACGAAAGCUAGGGGGAGCAAACAGG
rnacentral:rRNA from 1 species